rnacentral:lncRNA from 1 species
AUAUAUAUAUAUAUGAUGCAACAUCAAGAUUCUCUGCUAAUUUCGACAAUAGAGGUCACACUAAUUAACUGAUUUUGCUAAAAAAUAAGAAAAUUGGUACGAUAUGAAGAGCUCAAUGGUUGACGAAUUUUAUACUAUUUUGUGCUACGAUAUGAAUAACUUGGGUUGUACUAGAAUGCUGAAGAAAUACAUGUUUUAUUUAAAAAGAAAUAGAAACUGAUUAG